rnacentral:rRNA from 1 species
CCCUUAGAUGUUCUGGGCCGCACGCGCGCUACACUGACGAAUGCAACGAGCUUAUAACCUUGGCCGAAAGGUCUGGGUAAUCUCCAAAUUUCGUCGUGAUGGGGAUAGAUUAUUGCAAUUAUUAAUCUUCAACGAGGAAUGCCUAGUAAGCGCAAGUCAUCAGCUUGCGUCGAUUACGUCCCUGCCCUUUGUACACACCGCCCGUCGCUCCUACCGAUUGGGUGUGCUGGUGAAAUGUUCGGAUCGGCCGUUUGUCGCGGUUUCCGCGGCUCGUGGCUGAGAAGUUCAUUAAACCCUCCCACCUAGAGGAAGGAGAAGUCGUAACA